AUCCAGUUGACGAAGUCCCAAACAGGACUAAAUGCUCAUCCUGGAU
rnacentral:hammerhead_ribozyme from 1 species